UACGAAGGGGGCUAGCGUUGCUCGGAUUGACUGGGCGUAAAGGGCGCGUAGGCGGUUCGUACAGUCAGACGUGAAAUUCCUGGGCUCAACCUGGGGGCUGCGUUUGAUACGUGCGGGCUUGAGUGCGGAAGAGGGUCGUGGAAUUCCCAGUGUAGAGGUGAAAUUCGUAGAUAUUGGGAAGAACACCGGUGGCGAAGGCGGCGACCUGGUCCGAUACUGACGCUGAGGAGCGAAAGCCAGGGGAGCAAACGGG
rnacentral:rRNA from 1 species